rnacentral:rRNA from 1 species
UACGAGUGCCUCAAGCGUUAUCCGGAAUUAUUGGGCGUAAAGGGUGCGUAGGCGGUCAUGUUAGUCUCUUGUUAAAUUCUUCGGCUCAACCGGGGUCUGCAAGGGAAACGGCAUGACUUGAGGAUGCGAGAGGUGUGCGGAACUCUAGGUGUAGGGGUGAAAUCCGUUGAUAUCUAGGGGAACACCAAAUGCGAAGGCAGCACACUGGCGUAUUCCUGACGUUGAAGCACGAAAGCGUGGGUAGCGAAUGGG